ACCUAGCUGACGAGUCCCAAAUAGGACGAAACGCGCGUCCUGGAU
rfam:Schistosoma mansoni, Puerto Rico, WGS project CABG01000000 data, contig: 0125